UACGUAGGGGGCAAGCGUUGUCCGGAUUUAUUGGGCGUAAAGAGCUCGUAGGCGGCUCACUAAGUCGGAUGUGAAAACUCCAGGCUCAACCUGGAGACGCCAUUCGAUACUGGUGUGGCUUGAGUUCGGUAGGGGAGCACGGAAUUCCUGGUGUAGCGGUGAAAUGCGCAGAUAUCGAGAGGAACACCUGCGGCGAAGGCGGGUUGCUGGGCUGACACUGACGCUGAAGCGCGAAAGCUAGGGGAGCGAACGGG
rnacentral:rRNA from 1 species